UUAAUCUCUGAUUUUGGUCUACUCUGUUUAGACUUAGAGGAUUCAGCAACAAAUUUAACAGGCUUAACCUUAGGUUUUUGAGUUUUAACAACUUUUGCUUUUGAUGACUCAGCUUCUGAGUUAUCAGUGUAACCUAGUCCCUUCUUCCAGUUUCCACUACCUAAGAUAUCCUGAGUAGUUUUGCCUGAAUUAGUCCAUGUCUUAAUGAUCUCCCU
rnacentral:lncRNA from 1 species